GUGAAUCAUCGAAUCUUUGAACGCACAUUGCGCCCGCCAGUAUUCUGGCGGGCAUGCCUGUUCGAGCGUCAUUUCAACCAUCAAGCCCCCGGCUUGUGUUGGGGACCUGCGGCUGCCGCAGGCCCUGAAAACCAGUGGCGGGCUCGCUAGUCACUCCGAGCGUAGUAAUACAUCUCGCUCAGGGCGUGCUGCGGGUUCCGGCCGUUAAAAAGCCUUAUUUACCCAAGGUUGACCUCGGAUCAGGUAGGAAGACCCGCUGAACUUAAGCAUAUCAAUAAGCGGAGGA
rnacentral:misc_RNA from 1 species